rnacentral:misc_RNA from 1 species
UUUUAUUUUUAUUUUUAUUUUUUCCCGUCUCGCUCGCGCACACACACACUCUCUCUCUAGAAAGACUGCAAAUUUGCAGAGAGCAAAGAGAAAGGACUAAGAGGGGAGAAGUAUCCAACUACCACAGCGUGCUCCUGUCCAUGGCAGUCUCAGCACUUAUCUCCAUUCAUUAGAAGGAUGCUCAGUUGCCAUUGAAGCUGGAAAAUCUAUAUUUUCGCAGCUUAGUUUCUGGUUCUGCAGCUCAUCAGAAGAAAUUUGGUGGUUUCUUAUAUCUUAUCAAUUGAAACAUUAGUGCUUUCUGGACAACUUAGAGCAUUCAAAAUUCAGAGACCCAGUUCAGGGGGCGACCUGCCCCAAGGCAACGACUACAGUCCUUUUCCUGUAGCCCGAAGGGUGAAUUCUUCCCAUACAAUGAUGAUGGAUGAUGAUGUUGAGCGUGGUAAUUUGGGGCCGUACCAAGAGAGGCCAAGGACUUUCCCCAAUAUGCGUAGUAAACCUUAUACUCCAUUUAUUGUUCGAGUGCUAAUGGGAAUAAAUGUCCGUGUUCUUUUUAUACUUUUGCUGUUGGGUUUAGGAGCAAUCUUUUACAUUGGUGCAAGUACUUCUCCCAUCAUUGUGUUUGUCUUUACAAUUUGCAUCAUCAGCUUCCUGUUAUCGAUAUAUCUUACUAAGUGGGUACUAUCAAAGGAUGAGGGCCCUUCUGAAAUGGCUCAGAUAUCAGAUGCAAUACGUGAUGGAGCUGAAGGUUUCUUCAGAACUCAGUAUGGGACCAUCUCCAAGAUGGCACUAUUGCUCGGACUGGCUAUACUAGGCAUCUAUUUAUUUCGUAAUAUAACUCCUCAGCAAGAAUCGUCUGGCUUAGGCAGGGUAACAUCUGCUUAUAUUACGGUCGCUGCAUUUCUCUUUGGGGCUCUAUGUUCUGGUGUUGCUGGGUAUGUUGGCAUGUGGGUGUCAGUACGUGCAAAUGUUCGAGUAUCCAGUGCAGCAAGACGGUCAGCUCGCGAGGCGUUGCAGAUAGCUGUUCGUGCUGGUGGAUUUUCAGCAUUGGUGGUUGUUGGUAUGGCUGUAAUGGGUGUUGCUAUCCUGUAUGCAAUUUUGUAUGUGUGGUUUGGGGUGGAUUCGACUGGUACAAUGAAGGCAACCGAUUUGCCUCUUCUACUAGUUGGGUAUGGUUUUGGAGCUUCAUUUGUUGCCCUUUUUGCUCAGUUGGGUGGUGGAAUAUUCACAAAGGCUGCUGAUGUUGGAGCUGAUCUUGUUGGAAAAGUAGAGCAGGGUAUACCUGAAGAUGACCCACGAAACCCUGCUGUAAUUGCAGAUCUGGUAGGAGACAAUGUUGGCGACUGUGCUGCUCGAGGUGCAGAUCUUUUCGAAAGUAUAGCUGCGGAGAUUAUUAGUGCGAUGAUACUUGGAGGAACCAUGGCUCAACGCUGCAAAAUUGAAGAUCCAUCCGGCUUUAUUCUGUUUCCUCUUGUUGUUCAUUCAUUUGACCUGGUUAUAUCAUCAGUUGGCAUAUUCUCUAUUCGGAACAAAAGGGAUUCUGGAGUAAUUGGAACUAUAGAGGAUCCCAUGAAAACUCUUGAAAAGGGUUACUCAGUGACUAUAUUUUUAGCUGUUCUGACAUUUGGUUUGUCAACACGGUGGUUGCUAUAUACGGAACAGGCUCCUACUGCUUGGUUGAAUUUUGCUUUAUGUGGUCUGGUUGGAAUUGUUACUGCUUAUGUCUUUGUUUGGAUAUCAAAGUACUACACUGACUACAAAUACGAGCCCGUGCGUACCUUAGCCCUUGCUAGCUCUACUGGUCAUGGAACAAACAUAAUUGCGGGUGUUAGUUUGGGUCUGGAAUCCACAGCUCUACCUGUCCUUGUCAUAAGCUUGGCUAUUGUUUCUGCUUUCUGGCUUGGUCGCACGUCAGGAUUAACAGACGAAGCUGGAAAUCCAACUGGGGGGUUGUUUGGCACUGCUGUAGCAACUAUGGGAAUGCUUAGUACGGCUGCGUAUGUUCUCACCAUGGAUAUGUUUGGUCCAAUAGCUGAUAAUGCUGGUGGGAUUGUUGAGAUGAGCCAACAGCCUGAAAGUGUUCGUGAGAUAACUGAUGUUCUUGAUGCUGUUGGAAACACUACUAAAGCUACAACCAAGGGAUUUGCAAUUGGAUCUGCAGCACUUGCAUCAUUUCUUCUGUUCAGUGCCUAUAUGGAUGAGGUAGCUGCAUUUGCUCAAGAACCCUUCAAGCAGGUUGACAUAGCGAUACCUGAAGUAUUUGUUGGUGGUUUACUGGGUUCUAUGCUCAUCUUUCUGUUCAGUGCUUGGGCGUGUGCAGCUGUUGGUCGAACUGCUCAGGAAGUAGUCAAUGAAGUAAGAAGACAGUUUAUUGAGAGGCCUGGGAUCAUGGAUUAUAAGGAGAAGCCAGAUUAUGGUCGAUGUGUGUCCAUUGUUGCAUCUGCGUCUUUGAAGGAGAUGAUUAAACCUGGAGCCCUGGCUAUCAUAUCCCCCACAGUUGCUGGUGUUAUUUUCCGCAUUUUGGGCUACUACACAGGGCAUCCUCUUCUUGGGGCUAAAGUUGUAGCUUCCAUGUUGAUGUUUGCCACGGUUUCUGGUAUCCUUAUGGCUCUUUUCCUCAACACUGCUGGUGGAGCCUGGGAUAAUGCAAAGAAAUACAUAGAAACAGGUGCUCUUGGAGGCAAGGGGAGUGACACCCACAAAGCAGCAGUUACUGGAGACACGGUAGGAGACCCAUUCAAAGAUACAGCUGGACCUUCUCUCCAUGUACUAAUCAAAAUGCUUGCUACAAUAACUCUUGUGAUGGCUCCUAUCUUUCUGUGAGAGUUAAAUUUAAGAGAUUUUUAAAUAUACGGCACAAGUCUGUAGGAGCUUUUCUGUGUUCACUGGAUGGAUAUAUGACGAGAGAUGUAUUUUCUGGUUUACAUAACGAAAACCACAUUUUUUUGAUACAUGAAUUUCU